AUCUUGGUGGUGAAAUGGUAAACAUGCGAGACUCAAAAUCUUAUGCUACAGAGCAUGGAGGUUCGAGUCCUCUUAAUAUU
rnacentral:tRNA from 1 species